rnacentral:rRNA from 1 species
CAUUCCUACAACAUAGCAUUAAUGCAAUAGAUCCCAUUAGAACUCCGCAGUUAAGUGCGCUCAGGCUAGAGUAGUACUGGGAUGGGUGACUGUUAUAGGAGAAUCCCCCUGCAGACAAGU